AGCCGAUCACUGCGUCCAAACCCGCCUGAGGAGGAACGAGUCACCUCUGCCUGACUAUCUUCUGUCCCGGAGCGAGGCCGGUGCAACUCACGCUCAGCUCGUCGCAGGAGCAGAGAAGGCAAAGGGUGCUGCUGAGUUCGGCUGAGUCGAGGGCAGCUUCCGACGGCGAGGCUAUGGUGGAACUCAGGAUGGAGGAGGGCGAUCAGCAGAGAAGACCAAGAGGGGCAAGUGCUGCUGAGUUCGGCUGAGUCGAGGGGAGGUUUGGACGGCGAGGCCAGGGUGGAGC